AUUGUGUUCAGCACCAUAUCUACUAAAAUUAGAACAAUACAGAAAAAAAUGAGUAUAGUCCCUGUACAAGGAUGACAUGUAAAUUUGUGAAACAUUCUUUUUUUAA